rnacentral:sRNA from 1 species
UUCCGACUGAGCACGGUGUCUCCCCGGA